AAAAUAUUUAUGUUCUUUCCUUAUAUCAUUUCUUUAUUUUUACAGAAAUUUAAAUAUAGAAUAUAAUUGUUAUUUAAAAAUUGUUAAUAAUAAUAAUGAGAUGAUCGAUCAGGAUUACAAGGGUUACAAGCUCUGCAACAAGGGCAGAGGAAGCUAACAACCGGGAGGAAGAUCCUUUCACUACCGCUGAUGCUUGAUCAUCCAAACCACUCCAAACAAGAGGGACUUUUGGGAAGACAAAUAGGAAAUGGGUGCCAAGGUUAGCAAGCAUAGCCCUAAAGAGAGGCUGUACUUGCCAAAUUACAUUGACAUAAACAUAUAUGUGAAUGCUAGAAAUUUGGACAAAUCCCUUAGUAACAUACUGAUACGAUCGACACUCGGAAAAUUGAGGAAAUGAUAGACUUUACACCUAAGGGAUCGGGAGAUCACUUAGAUCAAAGGAUAUGGAGCGAAUGGUCGCAUAAAGGUUGCAGAAAGCCUUAGAUUUACCAGAUUUAAACUCGUCCUUGGAUAUUAUGCACCAAAGAGAAG
rnacentral:lncRNA from 1 species